GUCAUCCCAUCGUCUCCUCUCUCUCGGUCCUCUCAGCGCCCAUUGCAAUUUGUUGGUCAGCGCCCAUCAUCUCCCACCGGUCGCAGCAUCUCUCUUGUGCCCCUUGCAAUUGGAUGGUCAGGCAUGCAGCAGGGAAGCCGCCUCUCCUGGUCGGAUUUGCAGAGCCUGGCGCGCCGGAAGCCGGCGGCCUCCGCGGCAGCGGCGGAUGGCCGACGCCUCGCUAAGGCGCUCUCCGUUCCCCACCUCACGGCCAUUGGUGUUGGCUCGACGAUCGGCGCCGGCAUCUAUGUCCUGGUAGGAACUGUGGCUCGUGAGCAUGCUGGACCAGCCUUGACACUUUCCUUUCUAAUUGCUGGCAUUGCUGCUGCUCUUUCUGCCUUGUGUUAUGCCGAGCUUUCUUGCCGCUUCCCUUCAGCAGGAAGUGCUUAUCACUAUUCCUACAUUUGCAUUGGAGAGAGUGUCGCUUGGUUGAUUGGUUGGGCUUUGAUUCUCGAGUACACAAUUGGUGGAUCAUCAGUGGCACGUGGCAUCUCACCAAACUUGGCUCUGUUUUUUGGUGGCCAAGACAAGUUGCCCUUCUUCUUAGCACAAGUACAUGUUAAAUGGCUUGACACCCCAGUUGAUCCUUGUGCUGCCAUUCUUGUCCUCAUAGUCACUGCAUUACUCUGUCUGGGAAUUAAGGAGAGCUCACUUGUGGAAGGCGUCAUCACCAUUGCAAAUGUCGCAAUUAUGCUGUUUAUCAUUUGUGCCGGUGGAUGGUUAGGAUUCCAGAAUGGCUGGCCUGGUUAUGAUGUUCCGAAAGGUUACUUCCCGAAUGGUGCAAGUGGAGUUUUUUCUGGAUCAGCAACCCUCUUCUUUGCUUACAUUGGCUUUGAUGCAGUUGCCAGUACAGCUGAAGAGGUGAAGAAUCCUCAACGUGAUCUUCCAUGGGGAAUGUGUUUGACCUUGUCAUUGUGCUGCUUCCUCUACAUGAUGGUUUCUGCUGUUAUUGUCGGUCUGGUGCCAUAUUAUGCAAUGGAUCCUGACACCCCUAUUUCAUCUGCAUUUGCUCAAUAUGGAAUGCAAUGGGCAGCGUAUGUCAUUUCCAGUGGGGCUGUUCUUGCUCUCAUAGCAUCACUGAUUGGCGCUAUUCUCCCUCAGCCAAGAAUUGUCAUGGCCAUGGCAAGAGAUGGACUGCUUCCCCCAAUAUUCUCAGCUGUUGGUCAACGGACUCAAGUCCCAACAUUGAGCACAAUUCUGACUGGGAUAUGUGCUGCUAUCCUUGCUUUUUUCAUGGAUGUGUCACAAUUGGCCGGGAUGGUAAGCGUGGGCACACUAUUGGCAUUUACAAUGGUUGCGAUUUCUCUUUUAAUAGUAAGAUAUGCUCCUCCAAAUGAUAUGCCAAUGGGAGGCGCUGAUCCAUCCUCAGUUGAAUCACUAGCUUUACACGCUGGGCAUUCAGAGGCAGAUGAGGGAAUUUUGGAGGGUCCUUUUGGCAAUGUUGAUGAAGCACCUACUGCCAGUGAGAUCGCCAAUAUGGUAAGGCGACAAAAAGCUAAAAGAUAUAUAGUGAUGGUUUGCUUUGGGGUCAUCAUCUUUGUGCCAGCGGUUUCUUUCUCCUCUUUGCCAUUUUCCAUACGAUGCACAACAUGUGCCUUAGGUGGCUUGCUCUUGCUCGGUGCUAGCAUUGUACUUUCAUGCAUCGGACAAGACACGUCGUCUUCACGACAAACUGAAGGUUUCAUGUGCCCGUUUGUACCUGUACUUCCAGUAUGCUGCAUCCUCAUCAACGCGUACCUUCUAAUGAACCUUGGGAGUCACACGUGGAUCCGUGUUUCUGUAUGGCUUGUGGCUGGUGCACUAAUAUAUCUCUUCUACGGUCGAAAUCACAGUUCCCUGACAGGAACGGCCUACGAGCGCGUGUCACCUGCAUGAGACAGCGUGGGGGUAUUCUUCUAAUUUUUAAUCUGCAUAUAUGUUGACGAACUCGUGAAGGCGGAGACCUUGGUAAAUUUCCUUCACAUUGACAAGGUUAGCACUUCCAUGGUCGAUCUGUCAACGGCUGAAGCCUUCAAAGCAGCAUGGAGAAAUGGCCAUCAUACAUGGUUGGGGGGUUCCUGACCAGUUUUGGACAAGAAACGGAAGAACCCCCGAGUUUUGAAUUCUGCAGAGGUUUUAAACUUGAAAGCAGAAACAUGUAUACCAAUAGUAGCGCUGAAUAGGAUUACAAUCAAUCACUUUUUCGGCAAUUUCACCAACCCCCGGGAGGCUCUGUUCAGAAGAAAAGGUUUUUGGAGGAAAAAUCGGAGGACUGCAAUCCAGGGGAAAAUUUGGCAACGAGGAGAGUAAUUCCUAGAGGAAAAUGUGAGGGAGGCCUCUAUCCGCUCAUAUCAUCAGUUUCUUCAUCAUCAAAUAAACAAGCAUGGAGUGUCACCAAACCAUCAUCGGUAAAGUGGCAUCGUCGCUUGGGUCAUCCUUCUUCAACUAUCGUUCAACAUGUUCUUAGUAGAAAUAAACUUCCUUAUGAGUCUAGUGUUGAGUCAGUUUGUGAUGCAUGUCAACAAGCUAAGAGUCAUCAAUUGCCAUAUCCUAUCUCUACCAGUGUAUCCACUGCUCCUUUGCAACUUAUUUUUUCAGAUGUGUGGGGACCAUCCCCUAC